GACAGAGGGUGCAAACGUUGUUCGGAAUUACUGGGCGUAAAGCGAGUGUAGGCGGUUUCCUAAGUCGGAUGUGAAAGCCCCGGGCUCAACCCGGGAAGUGCACUCGAAACUGGGAGGCUAGAGUAUCGGAGAGGUUGGUGGAAUUCUCGGUGUAGAGGUGAAAUUCGUAGAUAUCGCUCGGAACGCCGAAGGUGAAAACAGACUGCUGGGGUUGCGCCGACGCUGAGACACGAAAGCCAGGGGAGCAAACGGG
rnacentral:rRNA from 1 species